GGAUGCGAUCAUACCAGCACUAAAGCACCGGAUCCCAUAAGAACUCCGAAGUUAAGCGUGCUUGGUCGAGAGUAGUACUAGGAUGGGUGACCUCCUAGGAAGUCCUCGUGUUGCAUUUG
rnacentral:rRNA from 1 species